rnacentral:lncRNA from 1 species
AUGAAACUUCACCUUCCCAGAACUCCUGACAGUCCUCAAACUUUUCAUCUUCCUCUCUUUCGUCCUCCUCGUCUCCGCCGCUGGACAGAGUCACAAAGCCGUCCUCUCCUGACAGCAUUCUGUCUCUCUCUUGCUUCCACCCUGAGUCACUUCCUCCUUCGCUCUCUGAGCGGGCCCAAUAAUCGCUCCCACCCUGUUCCUCUCUGUCACUCUCUUCUGUGUUAUCUGUCACGUUCUCCCCCUCUGCAUCCCUCCGCCAGCUUCCCUCUAUCCCUCCAUCUGUGUCAGACAGAUGUUCCUUCCCUCCCUUAUCUAUUUCUCUCCAGACUUCACCCACCUCCUCUCCAUCUACACUUACACCCUCCGAUUCCCUCUCUAGAGCCCCCUUGUUCUCAUUUCUCCCUCCAUGCCUUCCUCUGUAACUGCUAUGGUCCAAAUACCUCUCAUCUGGUUCCUCUUUUAUUCUCCGCCCCCCUCUUACCCACUCAGCCUGUGACUCCAUACUCCUCUCUUGUUCUCUCCUCCGCUCUUUCUCCCUUGUGUGUCUGUCUCUGUCUACAAAUUCUUCUUUACUAUUCUUGCCCCUCUGUGGCUCUAACCACAUCCUUUUCUGCUCUGGCACUCUGCCUGCUGUCUCUCCUUUUCUUCUCUCCUGUCUCUCACUUCUUUUUUGCUCCCUUUGACUUCUUUCAGCAGCUCUUUCUGGAUCUGUCUGUUCAUCUACAUCUCUGUCACUUUCAGUGGUGCUCCACUCUCCACUGCUCUGGGCUCGUGGCGGCACCCUGGGAGCUGUGUCGCUCUGGGAUCUGCUGCCUCUGGCUGUGGUAUCAUCCCACCUUGGAUCUUCCUGUCUUUCCUUUGUUUCUCUGCCUCUCCUCUGCUCAUACUCUCUGUAUCUGUCACCCUCUCUCCUAUCAUCCUUCACGUCUCUCACACGGUCCUUCCAUCUUGCUCCCUCCCUGUCUGGCUCCCUUGCUCCCCUCCUGUCAGCCUCUCUGUACCUCUCCCUAUCCUUCUCUACUCCCCUCCUCCUGGAUCGAUCCACUUCUCUCUCUCUGUCCCUGUCUCUGUAUCUCUCCCUUUCCUCUUCCCGGUAUCCUUGCCUAUCUCGAUGUCUCUCCCUCUCUGUUUUGCCUGUGGUGUCCCCUUCACUUCUGCUGUGUUGAUAUGUCAACUCCUCCCUCUCUCUGUCCCUCACUCUCUCCCUCCUGA